rnacentral:rRNA from 1 species
AGUGAACGCUGGCGGUAGGCCUAACACAUGCAAGUCGAACGGCAGCACAGUAAGAGCUUGCUCUUACGGGUGGCGAGUGGCGGACGGGUGAGGAAUAAAUCGGAAUCUACUUUUUCGUGGGGGAUAACGUAGGGAAACUUACGCUAAUACCGCAUACGACCUACGGGUGAAAGCAGGGGAUCUUCGGACCUUGCGCGAUUGAAUGAGCCGAUGUCGGCUUAGCUAGUUGGCGGGGUAAAGGCCCACCAAGGCGACGAUCCGUAGCUGGUCUGGGAGGAUGGUCGGCCACCCUGGAAGUGAGACACGGUCCAGGCUCCUACGGGAGGCAGCAGUGGGGAAUAUUAGACAAUGGGCGCAAGCCUGAUCCAGCCAUACCGAGUGGGUGAAGAAGGCCUUCGGGUUGGAAAGCCCUUUUGUUGGGAAAGAAAAGCAGCAGGUUAAUACCCCGCUGUUCUGACGGUACCCAAAGAAUAAGCACCGGCUAACUUCGUG